UUCCACAAAUCUUAGAGACCUCUGGGCUAUGGCAGUCUCCUUUCCUGGCCACAGAAGAGUAUAUUUUUUACUGGCAAAGCUGUCACCAUUUAAAUGAUAGCAGAUUCUAACUUGCACAAAUUAACGUUC
ensembl:snoRNA